rnacentral:rRNA from 1 species
UACGUAGGUGGCGAGCGUUAUCCGGAAUGAUUGGGCGUAAAGGGUGCGCAGGCUGCGCGUCAAGUCUGAAGUGAAAGGUACGGGCUUAACCGGUACAGGCUUUGGAAACUGGCACGCUAGAGGACAGGAGAGGGCGGUGGAACUCCAUGUGUAGCGGUAAAAUGCGUAGAUAUAUGGAAGAACACCAGUUGCGAAGGCGACCGCCUGGACUGUUGCUGACGCUCAGGCACGAAAGCGUGGGGAGCAAAUAGGAUUAGAUACCCUAGUAGUCCACGCCCUAAACGAUGAGGAGCAGGUGUCGGAGGGAGGACCCCGGUGCCGAAGCUAACGCAGUGACUCCUCCGCCUGGGGAGUAUGCACGCAAGUGUGAA